UACAGAGGGGGCCAGCGUUAUUCGGAAUUAUUGGGCGUAAAGGGCGCGUAGGCGGCCACGCGUGUCUUUCGUGAAAUCCCGCGGCUCAACUGCGGGGCUGCCGGUCAUACUGGCGAGCUAGAGCACGGUAGGGGCAGAUGGAAUUCCCGGUGUAGCGGUGGAAUGCGUAGAGAUCGGGAAGAAUACCAGUGGCGAAGGCGUUCUGCUGGGCCGUUGCUGACACUGAGGCGCGACAGCGUGGGGAGCAAACAGG
rnacentral:rRNA from 1 species